AAGCGGAGGAAAAGAAACCAACAGGGAUUGCCUCAGUAACGGCGAGUGAAGCGGCAAAAGCUCAAAUUUGAAAUCCUUCGGGAGUUGUAAUUUGUAGGUUGGGAGACCCCGCGGCUAGUGGCACCAAGUCCCUUGGAACAGGGCGCCUUAGAGGGUGAGAGCCCCGUAGGUACCACAACACCGUCUUGUGUCUCCUCUCCAAAGAGUCGAGUUGUUUGGGAAUGCAGCUCAAAGUGGGUGGUAAAUUCCAUCUAAAGCUAAAUACCGGCGAGAGACCGAUAGCGAACAAGUACAGUGAUGGAAAGAUGAAAAGCACUUUGAAAAGAGAGUGAAACAGUACGUGAAAUUGUUGAAAGGGAAGGGCUUGCAAGCAGACACGGCCUUCGUGCCGGGCCAGCAUCGGUUGCUAGGGGUGGAUAAGGAACAAGGAAUGUAGCUCCUCGGAGUAUUAUAGCCUUGCGCGAUACACCCACUGGCGACCGAGGCCUGCGGUAUUCUUAC
rnacentral:rRNA from 1 species